AUGCCAGGAUGGCUUAUUUAGGGUGGUGUGUUCUGAACUCCUUCAGCUUACACUCAUCAUACUUGGAGUCAAUUGUUUACUUUUUGUAUCAUCUGUUAGACUGAGCUUCGUGAGAGCAGGGAACGUAUCUAUCUUAUUUACCAUUUCGUAUCCCUCCACCUAGUAUUGCAGCCUGACACAUCGUAGGUGUUUAGUGAAUAUUUGUCAAAUAAAUGAAUGUUAUAAGAGGUUGGAGCUUAUGGAUGCAGUCUAUACAGAUGGGCCUCGCAGGGCACAGAUCAGAGUGGAGAGUGGACCAGGAGGUGGAAACAGACGAUGUCUUCUAUAUUUCAUUUGUCUUUUUCCUCCCACUAAAACAUAAGUUCUAUGAAGGAUGGGAUUUCUUUUUUUUUAGAUGCGGUCUCGCUCUUGUUGCCCAGGCUAGAGUGUGGUGGCACAGUCAUAGUUCACUGCACCCUCAAACUCCUGGGCUCAAACAAUCCUCCCACCUCGGCUUCCCAAAGCACUGGGAUUACAGGUUAUCUGCUUCCAUCUCUUGCAUACCUUGUGCUUGGAUGAGUGCCUGACUCAGAGUUGGCGCUCGGUAAAUAGUUCUUCAGUAAAGGAAUAUCAGUUGUUUUCAUGUGAGUUUCAAAACUCAACUACAGUAGUGUAGUCACCACAGUCUAUUUAUAUCACCACAGGAGAUACUUUUUAAAUUUGUUCUGUCUCCCUGAUUUAUAUGAGUAAUGGUUAACACUCUCUUCUCUCUCUCUUUCUCUCUCUCUCUCUCUAUAUAUAUAUACACACAUACAUAUAUAUACUUAUAUAUGUAUGUAUGUAUAUAGUUUGUGUGUGUGCUUGUAGCCACCAAAUUAGUGUAUAUAAAAUUAUUAUAUUAUUAUAUUAUUAGUUCUUUUGAAAUGGUCUUCAGCUAGAUUUUGAGUAACCAUAUUUAGAAGAAAAACCUCCUACACAGGUAUUUUCUGUUUAUUA
rnacentral:lncRNA from 10 species